GUGCUCACUUCGGCAGCACAUAUACUAACAUUGGAAUGAUACAGAGAUUAGCGUGGCCCUUGCGCAAGGAUGACACGCAAAUUCAUGAAGCGUUCCAUAUUUUU
rnacentral:snRNA from 1 species